AAUCAUUAUUAUUAUUAUUUUAACAACACUUCACAAUAUAAAAUUGGGUGGAUUCACGCGACGAAAAGCACACACUAUUAGAUUAGCAUAAUACAAUGCUAACCGCUAACCAGCUUUUGUCAACAUGUUUCUCUUUCAGCUGACGAAUACCGCGCUAACUACAUUAAUCUGAGCCUGCCAGGCGAAUGCAUGUCCUGAAGUUAACGGAGAUCGAGAUGGAGGUGGGCGCUAAUAUGGCUGACAACCGUGAAUAUACACAGACUGACUCGGACUGCUCCAGAAGCCGAGUCGACUCACGAUUCAGCGUUUGGGAAAAUGAACAAUGGACUGUAAAACCGAUACUUAACUUAGUUAUCCUAUUCUGUAAAAAUAUAUAAAGGAUCAUUUGUGGUG